CCCGCUGAAGUAGGCGGGAAGGGUUGGGCUGUUCGCCCAUUAAAACGGUACGCGAGCUGGGUUCAGAACGGCGUGAGCCAGUUCGGCCUCUAUCCGGUGCAAGCGUUUGAUACUUGAGGGGGGUCACCACUAGUACGAGAGGACCGUGGUGAGUUAGCCUCUAGUGUGCCAGUUGUCACAUCAGUGGCAGUGCUGGGUAGCCACGCUAAUAACUGAGAAGCGCUGAAAGCAUCUAAGCGCCAAACAGGCCCCAAGACUAGGUAUCUGUAAGAUCCGUUGUAGACUACGACGUUGAUAGGCGGCAGGUGUAAAGCAAGUAAUUGUUGUCGCGCGCAAGCGCGAGAGCGCUUAGCGGAAUGCG
rnacentral:ncRNA from 1 species